rnacentral:snRNA from 1 species
GCCACUUCGGUGGUCAAUUGAAGAACUAGAACGAUGCAGAGAACACUAGCAUGACGCCAACGCAAGGAUGAGACGCAUCAAUUGAGAAGUCGCAAUAUCCUU